rnacentral:hammerhead_ribozyme from 1 species
GUAUUGAUGAAGAGUCCCAAACUAGGACGAAACAGCUAUCCAGUAC